AGGUUCUCACUAGAGAGCUCGCUGAGGAUGGUUACUCUGGUGUUGAAGUUAGGGUCACCCCAAUGAGGACUGAGAUCAUCAUUAGGGCUACUCGAACUCAGAACGUGCUCGGUAAGAUCUAUCUUUCUCUGUCUGGUUGUUGGAAGAGACUGAAGAUAAGUAGUAGUGUGGAACGUCGAUGUCACCUUUUAUGGUAUAUUUUCUUUAUAUCAAUAAUGAAAAAACUAAUAUUAAUGUAGUGUAGAACAUUUGUACUAAAUAUUCAUCUAUGUGAGUUUUCUCUCUAGAGGAGUUUUCUAUUAAAAUGCCCUCCAAAACCAUUUGAAUUCUGAUAUCAUUGAGGAUCUAUACACAUCAGUUUGGUUCCCAGAAAACCUUAGGAAUAAAUUUGAAUGUUUUUAAUUGUUUGCUGCCUUCUUUACCUUUACUUGAAAUGAUAAAGGGGUAGGAAAGAAAAGGAAAAUGCUGAAAUUUGUCAUUGUCAAAUAACUAAAUAGGUAGCUGUCUUUGGUAUCAUAUAGUUAUGGUAUUUUAAACAUCUGUCUAUGGUCUCACUUUAUCAUAUUGACAUUGUUUUCCUCUGUUUUGCCAUUAAAUUUAUUUGAUGAAUUGUUAAGAACCAUCUAGUAUCACAUAGUAUGGUAUAACUAACAAUGGGAGGUGCACCAAAUUGUUACCCUAAAUUGUCAAAUUCUGUUGUCUCUGAUGAGUUUAGUAGUACUUGUUUUGGCAUUUUGUAAGAGAUUGGAUUGUGACUGUUUGCAGGCCCUCGAUACACAUAAGAUUAUAUGCUGACUGUAAUUAAUGGUUUGCUGCAUUGGUUCAGGUGAGAAGGGAAGAAGAAUUAGGGAAUUGACUUCUGUUGUUCAGAAACGCUUCAAGUUCCCAGAAAACACUGUGGAGCUUUAUGCUGAGAAAGUUAACAACAGAGGUCUCUGUGCCAUUGCUCAGGCUGAGUCACUACGUUACAAGCUUCUUGGAGGGCUUGCUGUUCGCAGGUGGGUAUCAACGUUUCCAAUUUUAUUGUCAUAUUUUCAUAAUACAGUGUAUCUUAAAUGGUUAUGGAAUUUACAGUUUGUAGUAUGCUGAUAUAUUUAAGUUUAUUGUCGUAUCAUAUCAAUGUUUAUAUUUAAUGUGUUUACGAAGUUUGCCUGUCUAUAUGCUCAGUAUUGUUUCAUUUGGUGUUUUGGCUGUUUAAACUUUUAUCUGGACUUUGUUAGUCAAGAUUGAGAAGCACCUAAGACUUUCUUUAACCUUUGUUCUUUGCUUAGCUUGUAGGGAGAUAGAUGUAAACUAUUUUCUUAUGGUUCACCUACCAGUUUAUGUCUUUAUUGAAUUGCUACACAGCCUACACCAGUUUUCCUAAGAAAUGAUUAAUUGAAUGGUGAAUUACAGAACCUUUUUUUUUUUUUAAUUGGAAAAGCCUUUAUUUUGUUAAGCACCAUUCCAUGUGAAUAUUUUCUGUAGUUAGCAUUGACCAUACCCCUCCCUUUCCCCAUAAUUAUGGGUAAAAGAGGGUCCCUUUCACUGCUUACAUCAAAUACUUGGAAUUUGUUAGGCUCCUUGGACUUUUAUAUGGUGGUUGGAGUUUUGUUAACCUUCCUACAAUUUCCUUUAGGUGUUUCUAAUGCAAGCCUCUUUUAUCUAUCAACAAAAAAAAAAACUUCAAACAAUUUGCUGCAUACAAAAUAUAGAAGUCGGCUUUUACUUGUGGGACCUGUAAUCCAUCUUAUUGUAGUUCUCUGACUUGUUUAUUUCCUUAUUAGAUUGCUUCACCAAUUUUGAUGCGGAAUGUUUCACUUUGACUGGAUGGGGAUUUGCAAAAUUGUUUCAUUGAAAUUCUUUGUUUUGGUAAAGCAACAUUCCACAUGAACAUUUCUUGUAGUUGGCAUUGACUAUAUUCCUACCUUUGCCCAUAAUUCUGAAGUAAAAAGGUUCCUCAUCAAUGCUUAGCCUAAAUAGUUGUUGGAAGCCAGAGGGGGUUUAUGGAUGGAUAGUGCUUCUCAUAUGCAGUCUAUUAUUGUUGUUUAUAAAUCAUUUCUCUCCAUCUCUCCCAUGGUACAGAUGUAGAUCUCGUUAACAAAGUUGGAAGACAAUUCAAGAGUGAUAAGAAGAGCAGGAACAUUUAAUAUUUAUAUGCCAUUUGUCCAAAGAAACACUUGCUUUCAUGUUAAUACAUGUAGGCUUGACUCUCAUAUAUAUAUAUAUAUAUAUAUAUAUUGUGGUUCUAUACUUCCUAUGUUAUCAACAUGAACAACUUUUAUGUGGCAUGCACUUCAGUUUUAAACUAGUACUGAUUUACUUGUUGACCUUGCUCUGUUAGGGCUUGCUAUGGUGUCUUGAGAUU
rnacentral:lncRNA from 1 species